GAUGAACGCUGGCGGCGUGCCUAAUACAUGCAAGUCGAGCGAAGCGGGGACGGGGGAGUAACACGUGGAUAACAUCCUAUAAGACUGGGGGAAAUUCGGGAGACAGGAGCUCAACAGGAUACUUAUAGAUGGAUCCGGGCUGCAUUAGCUAGUUGGUAAGGUAACGGCUUACCAAGGCAACGAGGCAUGCCCGACCUGAGAGGUGGACGGGCCACACGGGAACUGGGACACGGUCCAGACUCCUACGGGAGGCAGCAGGGGGGAACCUUCCGAAUGGGGCGAAAGCCUGCCGGGGCAACGCCGCGUGAUGGAGGAAGGUCUUCGGAUCGUAAAACUCUGUUAUUAGGGAAGCGGUACCGAAUCAGAAAGCCACGGCUAACUACGUGCCAGCAGCCGCGGUAAUUC
rnacentral:rRNA from 1 species